rnacentral:rRNA from 1 species
GUCUAUGGCCACACCAUAGAAUGUGCCCGAUCUUGUCUGAUCUUGGAAGCUAAGUAGGGUUGGGCCUGGUUAGUACUUAGAUGGGACAAAGGGUCAUGUAAG